UACAGAGGGGGCAAGCGUUGUUCGGAAUUACUGGGCGUAAAGGGCGCGUAGGCGGCCUGCUAAGUCGAACGUGAAAUCCCCGGGCUCAACCCGGGAACUGCGUCCGAUACUUGUGGGCUUGAAUCCGGGAGAGGGAUGUGGAAUUCCAGGUGUAGCGGUGAAAUGCGUAGAUAUCUGGAGGAACACCGGUGGCGAAGGCGGCAUCCUGGACCGGUAUUGACGCUGAGGCGCGAAAGCCAGGGGAGCAAACUGG
rnacentral:rRNA from 1 species